rnacentral:rRNA from 1 species
AGGACGAACGCUGGCGGCGUGCUUAACACAUGCAAGUCGAGCGGUAAGGCCUUUCGGGGUACACGAGCGGCGAACGGGUGAGUAACACGUGGGUGAUCUGCCCUGCACUCUGGGAUAAGCCUGGGAAACUGGGUCUAAUACCGGAUAUGACCUGCUCUCGCAGUGGGGGGUGGGUGGAAAGAUUUAUCGGUGCAGGAUGGGCCCGCGGCCUAUCAGCUUGUUGGUGGGUAAUGGCCUACCAAGGCGACGACGGGUAGCCGACCUGAGAGGGUGACCGGCCACACUGGGACUGAGACACGGCCCAGACUCCUACGGGAGCAGCAGUGGGAAUAUUGCACAAUGGGACGAAAGCCUGAUGCAGCGACGCCGCGUGGAGGAUGGAAGGUCCGUUCGGGUUUCGUAAACCUCUUUCAGCGAAGGACGAAGCGCAAGUGACGUACUGCGAAGAAGAAGCACCGGCUAACGUACG